UUGGAGGGCAAGUCUGGUGCCAGCAGCCGCGGUAAUUCCAGCUCCAAUAGCGUAUAUUAAAGUUGUUGCAGUUAAAAAGCUCGUAGUUGAAUUUCGAGAUCAGUACGCUGGUCGUGCCUUCGGUAUGCACUGGUGUCACUGGUUUCUCCCUUCUGAAGAACCGUCAUGUCAUUAAGUUGGUGUGGCGGGGAAUCAGGACUGUUACUUUGAAAAAAUUAGAGUGUUUAAAGCAGGC
rnacentral:rRNA from 2 species